rnacentral:misc_RNA from 1 species
CGCGUUGUUUUCACGUUUUCACAAAGAAACCGCGUCGCAAAAAUGACUGCUCCUUGUUUUUGAGAACACGCAUAAAAGCAGAGCGGUCUAAUGGAGUCUUGUUAACCUGCGAUGUUGAUACGGUGGUUUUUAACAUAAGAAAAAAAAUCUGUAUUAUAAUUUGUUAUAAUGGCCGGUAAAUCGUGGAAUUCAGAUAUGUGGAAAACGUGGGAUAAACAUGGGAAAAAUGAUUUCCUCAAGAUAAUCAAGCACAAAUAUAAGGAAGGUGACGCUCCAGAAUGGAAACGAGGUUUAUACGAAUUAAUAUCCAACGGAGUUCGUGGAAGCAUAAAGAAGGACAGCGUAGUUACUACUCUUGGAGAACUCGUUAGCAUCGAUGCUGCCAUCCCAUCAGCCAUUGUAGAUAUUUUCACUCUCAUAGAUGCCGAAGCCCAGAAUGACGAAAGAAAUAAUUUCUAUUACAUCGUAAAAGAAUGCGAAAAGUUUUUGACAGAUAGGAUUUUGACGGAACGUCUGGAAAUCGAGACUCUUCAGGACGUAGGGACGCUCAAGAAUCGAAAUUUUCAAACAAAGUUUAUCAAAGUGAAAACAAAACUCUAUUACAAACAGAGAAAGUUCAACCUCUUUAGAGAGGAGAGCGAAGGAUACUCUAAGCUUAUUGUAGAAUUAAAUCAAGAUCGACCAGCCGAAGGAGUUACCGGAAUCUUGGAAAUCGUAAAAUCACUAAUCGGAUAUUUUAAUUUAGAUCCCAACAGAGUCCUCGACAUAUUGUUGGAAACAUUCGAAAAUCGGCCACAGGACGACGCUCUUUUCAUACCACUUAUUCGUUCAUAUAUGAGCGAUCAACAAGUACUUUGCGAAGUUCUUGGCUUUAAAUAUCGUUCGACCGCGGAUUCUACGCCAUUCUCAUUGCAAAAAGUUACAGCACUGAUGUUACAACACGGUGUUAUUGAAUUAGAUGAUAUUUUGCCUUGGCUCGUCCCAGAUGACAAGAGUAUUAUUAAAGAUCAUGCUCAGGCAAUGAAACAGGCUAAAGAAUACGUACGUAAAAUGAGUGUCAUUUCGACCAAGGACAAAGAAGAAGUCCCAGAAGAAAAGGAAAAUGUUCAGGACAAAUACGGGAGUAAUCAAAAAUUCGGACUGUGCGAGGCUUUGUUAGAGAUCGGUGCUUGGCAAGUAGCUCAAAAUUUAUUCAACCGAUUGCCCGAUCAUUGUUUCACUGAUCAACGACCCAUUGCACUGGCUUUGUGCAAAAUGAUUCAGUCACUCAUCGAACCAGUCUAUCGCAAGCACUGUAUAAUUUCGCCAAAAUUGCCAGGUCGCAAGGUUCCACCUCUUGAAAGUACAUUAGCUCCGAAACCAAUGGAAAACUUGCAGAGUAUUCACGAACAAUUAUUACCAAUGUUGAUGAUACUCGGUCCGAAUUUGCAUCAUGAUCCAAUUCUUAUGUACAAAAUCAUGAGGUUGUGUCACGCAGCGAUAAAACAGUGUCCGAUUGACGCGAGCAAGCAACUUGUUGACAAAACGAAUACUCUUUACUACGAUGUUCUAACGAUUCUCGAUGGGGCACUGUUGCCAUCGCUUUCAUUCAUGGACUGCAAUUGUUGUGUCGCUGAAGAAAUGUGGAACAUCCUCAAACAUUAUCCGUAUCAAAAUCGUUACGCACUUUAUGCGCGUUGGAAAAACGACACGCCGCAACAACAUGCGGCCCUCUUAAGGAAACGCGCGGACGCUGAAAAGAAAAUCAAAUCAAUCAUGAAACGUGUUAGCAAAGAAACGAUUAAACCGGUCGGAAGAUCCAUUGGAAAGUUAACUCAUUCUUCGCCAGGAGUUUUAUUCGAUUAUGUACUCAUUCAAAUUCAACUUUACGACAACCUUAUAGGUCCCGUCGUCGAUUCUCUAAAAUAUUUAACAAAUAUCUCGUACGAUGUGCUUGGUUACUGUUUGGUCGAGGCUCUCGCCGGUGCUGAUCGAGACAGAUUUAAACAUGAUGGUACAAGCAUAUCAUUGUGGUUACAGUCAUUAGCCUCGUUUUGCGGUGCUAUUUUCAAAAAAUAUAACAUCGAAUUGACUGGUCUCCUUCAGUACGUUGCGGAUCAACUAAAAGCACAAAAAAGCUUGGAUCUUCUUAUUCUCAAAGAAAUAGUACAAAAAAUGGCGGGUAUUGAAGCAGCUGAGGAAAUGACUGCCGAUCAACUCGACGCGAUGGGCGGUGGAGACCUUUUGAAAAACGAGGCUGGUUACUUCGGUCAAGUACGAAAUACAAAAAAAUCAUCGCAACGAUUGAAGGAGACUUUGGCAGAACACGAUUUGGCCGUAGCACUUUGUUUAUUGAUGGCACAGCAGAAGCACUGUGUAGUUUAUCGUGAAACUGAUCAGUCCCAUCUCAAACUUGUUGGUAAAUUAUACGACCAGUGCCAAGACACCCUCGUCCAAUUCGGAACUUUUUUGGGCUCUACGAUGACAGUCGACGAGUAUGUCGAAAGACUCCCGUCCAUACACUCAAUGCUCCAAGACAAUCAUAUACAUUCGGACGUUGCCUUUUUCCUCGCACGUCCAAUGUUUGCACAUGCUAUAAACAUCAAAUAUGAUGCUCUCCGGAAAGCUGACCCGAAUUACAAGAAAAUGUCGACGUCAAUGAAACAAGCUAAAUAUGCGGAAGCCGCUCAAUUCGUAAUGGCACCGGUUGCGCAAUCGGUUCGUCCUUUGCACCCUCUCAAAGUUUGGGAAGACAUAUCUCCGCAAUUUCUCGUUACAUUCUGGUCCUUAUCGAUGUACGAUUUAUUCGUUCCUGUGGAGAGUUAUCAGCGAGAGAUUAACAAGCUGAAGCAACAAGCUGCUCAAGCUUCGGACUCGAAAGAAAUGAACGUCAGUAAAGUGAAAAAAGAACAAGAGCGUUGUGGGACGUUAAUCGAAAAGCUUCAGGACGAGAAGAGAAAACAAGAAGAACACGUGGAAAAAGUAUUUGCCUAUCUACGACAAGAGAAAGAUUCUUGGUUUCUGUCGAGAAGUGCAAAAUCUGCAAAAAACGAAACAAUCACACAGUUUCUACAACUCUGCUUAUUCCCACGAUGUACUUUUACUACCGUCGAUGCAAUGUAUUGCGCUAAAUUCGUACACACCAUUCAUUCACUCAAGACUGCGAAUUUUUCAACGUUACUUUGCUACGACAGACUCUUUUGUGAUAUAACUUACUCUGUAACUUCUUGCACCGAAAACGAGGCGAAUCGUUAUGGACGGUUCCUGUGUGCAAUGCUCGAAACAGUAAUGAGAUGGCACUCUGAGAAAGCGAUAUUCGAUAAGGAAUGUAGUAAUUACCCUGGCUUCGUGACGAAAUUUCGCGUCAGUAAUCAAUUUUCCGAAGCCAAUGAUAUGGUCGGGUUCGAAAAUUACCGACACGUCUGCCACAAGUGGCAUUAUAAAAUUACGAAGGCAAUCGUAGUAUGUUUGGACUCUAAAGAUUACGUUCAAAUUAGGAAUUCUUUGAUAAUACUUAUCAAAAUAUUGCCACACUUUCCGGUGCUUUCUAAACUUUCAUCCAUUCUCGAGCGUAAAGUCGAGAAAGUACGGGAGGAAGAACGUGGACAACGGCAAGAUUUGCACGUUCUCGCGACCUCUUACAGCGGACAAUUGAAAGCGAGAGCACCGAAUAUGAUUCGUGAAUCAGAUUUUCAUCACGUCGGCGAAAAGACUGGAAAAAUACAAGAGAAUACGAACAAUGAUAGCAACGAUAAAGUCAGCAAUGGGGUAGUACCAAAAGAGGUUUCGAACGGUGAAGCAAAAGCCGAAAAGGAUAGCAAAGAACAACGUGAAAAACGCAACGUCGCUAAUCAAGUUCAUCACGAAAUCACCGAGAAAGUACGGAAAAAGGAAGAGCCCAAGGAAACACUGGAAGCAAAAGAAAAACACGUGAAAAAGGAAGAAAUUAAGGAAGAAGAAAACAUUGAGAAAAAAGAUCGCAAAUAUUAUAAAGAGGAACAUUAUUAUAGUGGAGGAGUCGAUAAUUUGGAUCGAGAUUUAUCCAGUGUAUCAAACAGUAGCGCAAGUUCCGGACCUCCUCAGGACGGGCCCGAAAGAGUUUCCGAAACGAAGAGAAGAAAAGUUGAGAGCAUUCCGAAGCAGGAAGGACGUCGAGCCGAAGUCGUCGUCGAUAAAAAGGAGCGUUCGGCCAAAGCGAAGGUCCGAGACGAACAAAAAGAAUUGAGAAGAGAAAAAAAACUCAGCCGAAAGAGGGAUCGUACCGAAGAAACGGCAGUGGCUGCCGAACAAAAACGAAGGAAGGACGACGACAGGGCGAAAGGAACCCAUCAAAAUGGUGAUCUUCCGGAGCACAGAGAAAAACAUCACUAUAGCAAGUUGAUAAAGGCAUCGGUCUCGGGUGUGACGAAAAGACGAAACGGAAGACAGAAACAAUGUCGAGAGAAUUAAGCGACUCUAACAAGAAAAAUCACCGUACACGAAGGAACGCGCUCACGAACGGGAAGGUCGCGAAGGACGGGACAAACAUAGGAGAAGUUCGGAUCCAAAACGAAGAUGAUGUUACAAAACGACGAAUGGAAUUUGACUUACAUUUUAUAUGAUACGUUUGAUUGAAUGUUGUAUGUAAUUAAAAUAGAAUUCAAAAUAAUAAAGAUCAAUAGUGAAUACAUUUUA